ensembl:lncRNA
AUGAUUUCCCCUUCAAUCACUAUUGAAAGCACCACUAUCAGUACAGCCACAACAUCCACAAAACAUCCUUCAACAGUGACAUCAACUGCUUCUGGAACUACUACUGCAGGAAUUUCCACAACAGCACCACAGACGACAACUACUGCAGUACCUGUUGUGAGUGCUUCUUUAACCACUAUUGAAAGCACCACUGUCAGUGCAGCCACUACAUCCACAGCACCAACAGCUACAAGAACACAUUCUUUAACAGUGACAUCAACUGCUGCUGGAACUACUACUGCAGGAGUUUCAACAACAGCACCACAGACGCCAAAUACUGCAGUACCUGUUGUGAGUCCUUCUUUAACCACUAUUGAAAGCACCACUGUCAGUGCAGCCACAACAUCCACAGCACCAACAGCUACAACAACACAUCCUUCAACAGUGACAUCAACUGCUGCUGGAACCACUACUGCAGGAGUUUCCACAACAGCACUACAGACGACAACUACUGCAGUACCUGUUGUGAUUCCUUCUUCAACCACUAUUGAAAGCACCACUGUCAGUGCAGCCACAACAUCCACAGCACCAACAGCUACAACAACACAUCCUUCAACAGUGACAUCAACUCCUGCUGGAACUACUACUGCAGGAGUGUCCACAACAGCGCCACAGACGACAACUACGGCAGUAACUUCUGUGAUUCCCCCUUUAAUCACUAUUGAAAGCACCACUGUCAGCACAGCCACAGCAUCCACAAAACAUUCUUCAACAGUGACAUCAACUGCUGCUGGAACCACUACUGCAGGAGUUUCCACAACAGCACUACAGACGACAACUACUGCAGUACCUGUUGUGAUUCCUUCUUCAACCACUAUUGAAAGCACCACUGUCAGUGCAGCCACAACAUCCACAGCACCAACAGCUACAACAACACAUCCUUCAACAGUGACAUCAACUGCUGCUGGAACCACUACUGCAGGAGUUUCCACAACACCACCACAGACGACAACUACUGCAGUACCUGUUGUGAUUCCUUCUUCAACCACUAUUGAAAGCACCACUGUCAGUGCAGCCACAACAUCCACAGCACCAACAGCUACAACAACACAUCCUUCAACAGUGACAUCAACUGCUGCUGGAACCACUACUGCAGGAUUUUCCACAACACCGCCACAGACAACAUUUACUGCAGUAACUUCUAUGAUUUCCCCUUCAAUCACUAUUGAAAGCACCACUAUCAGUAGCGCCACAACAUCCACAACACAUCCUUCAACAGAGACAUCAACUUCUGCUGGAACCACUACUGCAGGAGUUUCCACAACAGCACCACAGACGACAACUACUGCAGUACCUGUUGUGAUUCCUUCUUCAACCACUAUUGAAAGCACCACUGUCAGUGCAGCCACAACAUCCACAGCACCAACAGCUACAACAACACAUUCUUUAACAGUGACAUCAACUGCUGCUGGAACUACUACUGCAGGAGUUUCCACAACAGCGCCACAGACGACAACUACUGCAGUAACUUCUGUGAUUUCCCCUUCAAUCACUAUCGAAAGCACCACUAUCAGUAGAGCCACAACAUCCACAACACAUUCUUCAGCAGUGACAUCAACUGCUGCUGGAACCACUACUGCAGGAGUUUCCACAACAGCACUACAGACGACAACUACUUCAGUACCUGUUGUGAUUCCUUCUUCAACCACUAUUGAAAGCACCACUGUCAGUGCAGCCACAACAUCCACAGCACCAAUAGCUACAACAACACAUCCUUCAACAGUGACAUCAACUGCUGCAGGAACCACUAUUGCAUUAGUUUCCACAACAACACCACAGACAACUACUGCAGUAACUUCUGUGAUUCCCCCUUUAAUCACUAUUGAAAGCACCACUGUCAGCACAGCCACAGCAUCCACAAAACAUUCUUCAACAGUGACAUCAACUGCUGCUGGAACCACUACUGCAGGAGUUUCCACAACAGCACUACAGACGACAACUACUGCAGUACCUGUUGUGAUUCCUUCUUCAACCACUAUUGAAAGCACCACUGUCAGUGCAGCCACAACAUCCACAGCACCAACAGCUACAACAACACAUUCUUUAACAGUGACAUCAACUGCUGCUGGAACUACUACUGCAGGAGUUUCCACAACAGCGCCACAGACGACAACUACUGCAGUAACUUCUGUGAUUUCCCCUUCAAUCACUAUCGAAAGCACAACUAUCAGUAGAGCCACAACAUCCACAACACAUUCUUCAACAGUGACAUCAACUGCUGCUGGAACCACUACUGCAGGAGUUUCCACAACAGCACUACAGACGACAACUACUGCAGUACCUGUUGUGAUUCCUUCUUCAACCACUAUUGAAAGCACCACUGUCAGUGCAGCCACAACAUCCACAGCACCAAUAGCUACAACAACACAUCCUUCAACAGUGACAUCAACUGCUUCUGGAACUACUACUGUAGGAGUUUCCACAACAGCACCACAAAAAACAUCUUCUGCAGGAACUUCUGUGAUUCCCUCUUCAACCACUAUUGAAAGCACCACUGUCAGUACAGCCACAACAUCCACAACACCAACAGCUACAACAACACAUCCUUCAACAGUAACAUCAACUCCUGCUGGAAAUACUACUGCAGGAGUUUCCACAACAGCACCACAGAUGACAACUACUGCAGUACCUGUUGUUAUUCCUUCUUCAACCACUAUUGAAAGCACCACUGUCAGUAUAGCCAUAACAUCCACAACACCAGCAACUACAACAACACAUCCUUCAACAGUUACAUCAACUGCUGCUGUAAGUACAACUGCAGGACUUUCCACAACAGUGUCACAGACAACAUCUACUGCAGUAACUUCUGUGAUUCCCCCUUUAAUCACUAUUGAAAGCACCACUGUCAGCACAGCCACAGCAUCCACAAAACAUUCUUCAACAGUGACAUCAACUGCUGCUGGAACCACUACUGCAGGAGUUUCCACAACAGCACUACAGACGACAACUACUGCAGUACCUGUUGUGAGUGCUUCUUUAACCACUAUUGAAAGCACCACUGUCAGUGCAGCCACUACAUCCACAGCACCAACAGCUACAAGAACACAUUCUUUAACAGUGACAUCAACUGCUGCUGGAACUACUACUGCAGGAGUUUCCACAACAGCACCACAGACGACAACUACUGCAAUACCUGUUGUGAGUCCUUCUUUAACCACUAUUGAAAGCAACACUGUCAGUGUAGCCACAACAUCCACAACACCAACAGCUCAAACACAUCCACAAACAGCUACAACAACACAUCCUUCGACAGUGACAUCAAGUCCUGCUGGAACUACUACUGCAGGAGUUUCCACAACAGCACCACAGACGACAACUACUGCAAUACCUGUUGUGAGUCCUUCUUUAACCACUAUUGAAAGCAACACUGUCAGUGUAGCCACAACAUCCACAACACCAACAGCUCAAACACAUCCACAAACAGCUACAACAACACAUCCUUCGACAGUGACAUCAAGUCCUGCUGGAACUACUACUGCAGGAGUUUCCACAACAGCACCACAGACGACAACUACUGCAAUACCUGUUGUGAGUCCUUCUUUAACCACUAUUGAAAGCAACACUGUCAGUGUAGCCACAACAUCCACAACACCAACAGCUCAAACACAUCCACAAACAGCUACAACAACACAUCCUUCGACAGUGACAUCAAGUCCUGCUGGAACUACUACUGCAGGAGUUUCCACAACACCGCCACAGACAACAUCUACUGCAGUAACUUCUAUGAUUUCCCCUUCAAUCACUAUUGAAAACACCACUAUCAGUACAGCAACAACAUCCACAACACAUCCUUCAACAGUGACAUCAACUGCUUCUGGAACUACUACUGCAGGAAUUUCCACAACAGCUCCACAUAUGACAACUACUGCAGUACCUGUUGUGAGUGCUUCUUCAAGGACUAUUGAAAGCACCACUGUCAGUACAGCCACAACAUCCACAACACCAACAGCUACAACAACACAUCCUUCAACAGUAACAUCAACUCCUGCUGGAAAUACUACUGCAGGAGUUUCCACAACAGCACCACAGAUGACAACUACUGCAGUACCUGUUGUUAUUCCUUCUUCAACCACUAUUGAAAGCACCACUGUCAGUAUAGCCACCACAUCUACACCACCAACAGAUAAAACAACACAUCCUUCAACAGUGACAUCAACUGCUUCUGGAACUACUACUGUAGGAGUUUCCACAACAGCACCACAAAAAACAUCUUCUGCAGGAACUUCUGUGAUUCCCUCUUCAACCACUAUUGAAAGCACCACUGUCAGUACAGCCACAACAUCCACAACACCAACAGCUACAACAACACAUCCUUCAACAGUAACAUCAACUCCUGCUGGAAAUACUACUGCAGGAGUUUCCACAACAGCACCACAGAUGACAACUACUGCAGUACCUGUUGUUAUUCCUUCUUCAACCACUAUUGAAAGCACCACUGUCAGUAUAGCCAUAACAUCCACAACACCAGCAACUACAACAACACAUCCUUCAACAGUUACAUCAACUGCUGCUGUAAGUACAACUGCAGGACUUUCCACAACAGUGUCACAGACAACAUCUACUGCAGUAACUUCUGUGAUUCCCCCUUUAAUCACUAUUGAAAGCACCACUGUCAGUAUAGCCACCACAUCUACACCACCAACAGAUAAAACAACACAUCCUUCAACAGUGACAUCAACUGCUUCUGGAACUACUACUGUAGGAGUUUCCACAACAGCACCACAAAAAACAUCUUCUGCAGGAACUUCUGUGAUUCCCUCUUCAACCACUAUUGAAAGCACCACUGUCAGUACAGCCACAACAUCCACAACACCAACUGCUACAACAACACAUCCUUUAACAAUGACAUCAACUGCUUCUGGAACUAAUACUGUUGGAGUUUCCACAACAGCACCACAAACAACAUCUUCUGCAGGAACGUCUGUGAUUCCCUCUUCAACCACUAUUAAAAGCUCUACUGUCAGUACAGCCACAACACCUACAGAUACAACUACAGGGCCCUCAACUACCAGAACAACUGCUGCUGGAACAUCCACCACCAGUGGAAUAUUUCUCACAACAGUGCCACAAACACAAACAUCUUAUGCUUCAGCCACUGAAUCUUCAACAGUCUUUGAAAGUAUAACAUCCAUACCAGGUUCUGCCACUAGUGGAGCAGUUACCAUGACAUCACCUCCUAUGUUUGUUUCAUUCUCUCCAUCAUCAAAUGUCUCUGAGAGCACAACUCUUAGUACCAUUGAAACAUCCGCAACAACAACAUCAAAAGGAUUCUCUGCACUAAAAACAGAAACUUCUGUUUUUACUUCAGCAACUCCCUAUUCAACAACCUUUUACUCUACGACUGGUAGCACAGCUGGAACAUCAUCAAAUUCAUUUGGUUCAACCACUAAAAAAACUAGUCUCUCAACCACUAAUGCAUUAACAAGACCCUUGACAUCUAAAUUUAUAGUGCCUACGACUACAAUUACAAAAUUUGUACCUGUGUAUCUAACAGAUUUGGUGUUCCGCUCUUUUGACAUAUUUAUAGUUGAACUCAAUGAUUCAAACUCGCAGGCCUUCAAGUCAAGAGCUGAGCUUGUCAGAUCUCAGCUUAGACCAAUCUACAGAGCAAAAUAUCCUUCUUUUAUCGAAGUGAUUGUCUUGCGUUUCAGACCAGGGUCAAUCAUCACAGAAACACAAUUAGUUUUCAACUCCACACAAUCUGUUCCAACCAUUCAAGAGAUUUCAGACACCCUCUUUAUAGCAGUGAUAAAAGGAGAUGUCAACCCCCUAAAUAUAAUUCCAUAUUCAAUUUCAGUCAAUGGUUCAGUUAUAGCUACGACUGUAGCUGCAAUUACAACUACAACUGCAGCUGCAACUACAGCUUCAAGUGGACUGAAGAUUGAAUCCAGCCUGCUCCAAGCAACAUGGCUCAUUAUUAUCGCAAAACUAUUACAGCUUUUCCUAUAGAUCCCUUAACAAUAAAUGCAAGUGGCGAGAAAUGCA